CGAACAUCGUGCGCGGACGAUUGUUGAGGAAGGAGGACGAAAUGGUCGUUGUGAAUCUCGUGAAUGCACGUAGCCAGUGUUUUGAUGCCAGAGCUGACUGAUGGGUGCACAUGGUUCCUUCGAAUGUUCUUCCUUUGAAAAAAUAAACGUCGAGUAUAACUGCA